UACGGAGGGGGCUAGCGUUGUUCGGAAUUACUGGGCGUAAAGCGCACGUAGGCGGCUUUACAAGUCAGGGGUGAAAGCCCGCGGCUCAACCGCGGAAUUGCCCUUGAGACUGUAUCGCUUGAACACGGGAGAGGUGAGUGGAAUUCCGGGUGUAGAGGUGAAAUUCGUAGAUAUUCGGAAGAACACCAGUGGCGAAGGCGGCUCACUGGACCGUAGUUGACGCUGAGGUGCGAAAGCGUGGGGAGCAAACAGG
rnacentral:rRNA from 1 species